rnacentral:misc_RNA from 1 species
CAUCGCCAUGACCCUUCCCGAUGAAUUCGAUGCGGUCCUGAUGACCUCAGGGGUUGGGGCAGCUCUUGCCGAUGGGCCAUUGCCCGUCGGAGAAGCCUAUCUGGCCGGCGCAGCGACGUACGUUGGAGGCAGAAGGUUAAUCCGCGGUGUGGGGGUUCUGCGCAGGGGGUUUUCUAGAAUUGCCGCAAGGGGAGCGCAGUUCAGCUCGAACGCACUGGAGGGGGUCGAACGGGCGUCGCCCAAACUCCUCGAAGCCGUGGGUAGACGGCGCGCAGUUACAUUCGCAGAAGAAGGCUCAGAUGCGCUUCGAUUUUUGAACAUGAGGGAGGCUGAAGCCGC